CCUACGGGUGGCAGCAGUGGGGAAUAUUGGACAAUGGGCGAAAGCCUGAUCCAGCCAUGCCGCGUGUGUGAAGAAGGCCUUCGGGUUGUAAAGCACUUUCAGUGGGGAAGAAAGCCUUGGGGCUAAUACCCUCGAGGAAGGACAUCACCCACAGAAGAAGCACCGGCUAACUCCGUGCCAGCAGCCGCGGUAAUACGGAGGGUGCGAGCGUUAAUCGGAAUUACUGAGCGUAAAGCGCGCGUAGGCGGUCUGAUAAGCCGGUUGUGAAAGCCCCGGGCUCAACCUGGGAACGGCAUCCGGAACUGUCAGGCUAGAGUGCAGGAGAGGAAGGUAGAAUUCCCGGUGUAGCGGUGAAAUGCGUAGAGAUCGGGAGGAAUACCAGUGGCGAAGGCGGCCUUCUGGACUGACACUGACGCUGAGGUGCGAAAGCGUGGGUAGCAAACAGGAUUAGAUACCCGAGUAGUC
rnacentral:rRNA from 1 species